GGAGUUUGGACCGUGUCUCAGUUCCAAUGUGGGGGACCUUCCUCUCAGAACCCCUACUGAUCGCAGGCUUGGUGGGCCGUUACCCCGCCAACAACCUAAUCAGACGCAUCCCCAUCCCUUAGCGGUAAACCUUUGGUUCAAUUUAGAUGUCUGCUUCGAACAACAUAGGGUAUUAAUCCGACUUUCGCCGGGCUAUCCCCUACUAAGGGGAAGGUUGGAUACGCGUUACUCACCCGUGCGCCGGUCGCCAUCAAAGUUUGCAAGCAAACUUCAUGCUGCCCCUCGACUUGCAUGUGUUAAGCCUGUAGCUAGCGUUCAUC
rnacentral:rRNA from 1 species